AGGCCAGACUCCUACGGGAGGCAGCAGUGGGGAAUCUUCCGCAAUGGGCGAAAGCCUGACGGAGCAACGCCGCGUGAUCGAAUGAAGGCCUUCGGGUUGUAAAGAUCUGUUGACAGGGACGAAUAAGCAAUGCGAAUAGUUUUGUGUAUGACGGUACCUGUUUAGAAAGCUCCGGCUAACUACGUGCCAGCAGCCGCGGUAAUACGUAUGGGGCAAGCGUUAUCCGGAUUUACUGGGUGUAAAGGGAGCGUAGGCGGCAGGGCAUGCCUGAUGUGAAAGCCCGGGGCUCAACCCCGGGACUGCAUUGGGAACUGCCCCGCUCGAGUGCCGGAGGGGCAGGCGGAAUUCCUAGUGUAGCGGUGAAAUGCGUAGAUAUUAGGAGGAACACCAGUGGCGAAGGCGGCCUGCUGGACGGUGUACUGACGCUGAGGCUCGAAAGCGUGGGGAGCAAACAGGAUUAGAUACCCGAGUACGA
rnacentral:rRNA from 1 species